GAUGAACGCUGGCGGCGUGCCUAAUACAUGCAAGUCGGGCGAACAGACGAGAGUGCUUGCACUCUCUGACGUUAGCGGCGGACGGGUGAGUAACACGUGGGUAACCUACCUAUAAGACUGGGAUAACUUCGGGAAACCGGAGCUAAUACCGGAUAAUAUUUAGCUUCGCAUGAAGCAAUAGUGAAAGACGGUUCUGCUGUCACUUAUAGAUGGACCCGCGGUGUAUUAGCUAGUUGGUGAGGUAACGGCUCACCAAGGCAACGAUACAUAGCCGACCUGAGAGGGUGAUCGGCCACACUGGGACUGAGACACGGCCCAGACUCCUACGGGAGGCAGCAGUAGGGAAUCUUCCGCAAUGGACGAAAGUCUGACGGAGCAAUGCCGCGUGAGUGAAGAAGGUUUUCGGAUCGUAAAACUCUGUUGUAAGGGAAGAACAAGUACGUUAGUAACUGAACGUACCUUGACGGUACCUUACCAGAAAGCCACGGCUAACUACGUG
rnacentral:rRNA from 1 species